GCCCUUUAACAACCGGGCCGAAUGACCUAUAUCUAUCCAUGCCGGUUUACCGGCUAUGGCGCUAAACGCGUUAUGGAAUAGGCGUUGUGGACCCGGGGGCAGUACCCGGCGCCUCCACCA
rnacentral:tmRNA from 1 species